GUCCACGCCCUAAACGAUGCGAACUGGAUGUUGGGUGCAACUAGGCACUCAGUAUCGAAGCUAACGCGUUAAGUUCGCCGCCUGGGGAGUACGGUCGCAAGACUGAAACUCAAAGGAAUUGACGGGGGCCCGCACAAGCGGUGGAGUAUGUGGUUUAAUUCGAUGCAACGCGAAGAACCUUACCUGGCCUUGACAUCCACGGAACUUUCCAGAGAUGGAUUGGUGCCUUCGGGAACCGUGAGACAGGUGCUGCAUGGCUGUCGU
rnacentral:rRNA from 1 species